UACCACUCUUAACCACUACACCACACUGGCUCUCUUUCAAUUUUCCCACAAUGCCCUGGAAAACCUGACAUGGUGUUCCCUGGAGAGAGAGCCAGUGUGGUGUAGUGGUUAAGAGCGGUAGU